rnacentral:tRNA from 1 species
GCCGACGUAGCUCAGGGGUUAGAGCGAGCGUCUCAUAAGCGCUAGGCCGUGGGUUCGAAUCCCACCGUCGGCA